CUCCUACGGGGGGCAGCAGUGAGGGAUAUUGGUCAAUGGGGGAAACCCUGAACCAGCAACGCCGCGUGAGGGAAGACGGUUUUCGGAUUGUAAACCUCUGUCUUCUGUGAAGAUAAUGACGGUAGCAGAGGAGGAAGCUCCGGCUAACUACGUGCCUGCAGCCGCGGUAAUACGUAGGGAGCGCGCGUUGUCCGGAUUUACUGGGUGUAAAGGGUGCGUAGGCGGGUAAGAAAGUCAGACGUGAAAUCCAUGGGCUUAACCCAUGAAUUG
rnacentral:rRNA from 1 species